rnacentral:rRNA from 1 species
UUAAUUAAAGAAUAGAAUAUUAUUAGACACGAAGUUGAUGGAGCUAAUUAUUAUUACUAAUAGGUAUUAAGAUGUAGUAUAAUUAAAAGAAUAAUAACUAGGAGUGAUAGGCUUAUCAUAAUCAACGAUAACUUGAUGGUUUAGAAAUGUAAUAAUACAAAGACACUCUUGAAAUGAUAAGGUUUUAAGAGCCCAAUUAACGGUUAUCUUACGUAAGUACAUUAUUUAAGCGUAUGUACAUUAAAAUGCUAGUAUUAAUUUGACAUGGUUGUUUCAACUAUAAACCUAUCAAUCAAUUUUUUUCCGGGAUAAAUAAUGUUAAUAUUAGUAGCGAAGAGAUAUUGACAUCGAACUCGGCGAAAGGUCUUUCAACUGUUUAUCAAAAACAUAGCUGUAUGGGUUAAUAUACAGUAAUUUCUGCUCAAUGAAUAAUUAAAUAGCCGCAGUACCCUGACUGUGCUAAGGUAGCGCAAUCAAUUGACUUUUAAAUGAAGUCCCGUAUAAAAGAAACCAUGGGGGAUCACUUUUCCGUUGAUAAUGAAUGAAUUUGCUUAAAGAGUGAAAAUACUCUUAAAUAAAUGAAAGACGAGAAGACCCUAGAAAUUUUAAGAACUUAACUUUUUGUUGGGGCAACACAGUAGUAAUAUUAAUCUACUAUGAUGACAUGGCGGGAAUAUCUCGGAAGAUAAAAUUACUCUAGGGAUAACAGCAUAAUUUGAAAAAGUUUGUGACCUCGAUGUUGGAUUAGGGAAUUUUCGUUUAGAAG